GAUGAACGCUGGCGGCGUGCCUAAUACAUGCAAGUCGAGCGAACAGACGAGGAGCUUGCUCCUCUGACGUUAGCGGCGGACGGGUGAGUAACACGUGGAUAACCUACCUAUAAGACUGGGAUAACUUCGGGAAACCGGAGCUAAUACCGGAUAAUAUAUUGAACCGCAUGGUUCAAUAGUGAAAGACGGUUUUGCUGUCACUUAUAGAUGGAUCCGCGCCGCAUUAGCUAGUUGGUAAGGUAACGGCUUACCAAGGCAACGAUGCGUAGCCGACCUGAGGGGGUGAUCGGCCACACUGGAACUGAGACACGGUCCAGACUCCUACGGGAGGCAGCAGUAGGGAAUCUUCCGCAAUGGGCGAAAGCCUGACGGAGCAACGCCGCGUGAGUGAUGAAGGUCUUCGGAUCGUAAAACUCUGUUAUUAGGGAAGAACAAAUGUGUAGGUAACUAUGCACGUCUUGACGGUACCUAAUCAGAAAGCCACGGCUAACUACGU
rnacentral:rRNA from 1 species